CGUAAAGAGCUUGUAGGCGGCUUGUCGCGUCUGCUGUGAAAACCCGGGGCUUAACCCCGGGCUUGCAGUGGGUACGGGCAGGCUAGAGUGUGGUAGGGGAGACUGGAAUUCCUGGUGUAGCGGUGGAAUGCGCAGAUAUCAGGAGGAACACCGAUGGCGAAGGCAGGUCUCUGGGCCAUUACUGACGCUGAGAAGCGAAAGCGUGGGGAGCGAACAGGAUUAGAUACCCUGGUAGUCCACGCCGUAAACGUUGGGCGCUAGGUGUGGGUCCCAUUCCACGGGGUCCGUGCCGCAGCUAACGCAUUAAGCGCCCCGCCUGGGGAGUACGGCCGCAAGGCUAAAACUCAAAGGAAUUGACGGGGGCCCGCACAAGCGGCGGAGCAUGCGGAUUAAUUCGAUGCAACGCGAAGAACCUUACCAAGGCUUGACAUAUACCGGAAACUCCCAGAGAUGGGGGCCCCGCAAGGUCGGUAUACAGGUGGUGCAUGGUUGUCGUCAGCUCGUGUCGUGAGAUGUUGGGUUAAGUCCCGCAACGAGCGCAACCCUCGUUCUAUGUUGCCAGCACGUGAUGGUGGGGACUCAUAGGAGACUGCCGGGGUCAACUCGGAGGAAGGUGGGGAUGACGUCAAAUCAUCAUGCCCCUUACGUCUUGGGCUUCACGCAUGCUACAAUGGCCGGUACAGAGGGCUGCGAAACCGUGAGGUGGAGCGAAUCCCUUAAAGCUGGUCUCAGUUCGGAUUGGGGUCUGCAACUCGACCCCAUGAAGUCGGAGUCGCUAGU
rnacentral:rRNA from 1 species